ACGAACGCUGGCGGCGUGCUUCACACAUGCAAGUCGAACGGGCCCGCUCUCUUUUUUGGGGGUGGGUUGAGUGGCGAACGGGUGAGUAUCACGUGAGUAACCUGCCCCCUGCUCCUGGAUAACUGCUUGAAAGGGCGGCUAAUACGGGGUGUGCCGGCUGGUCCGCAUGGGCCUGGUCGGGAUAGUUUCAUCUUCGGGUGUUUCGGUGGGGGAUGGGCUCGCGGCCUAUCAGCUUGUUGGUGGGGUGAUGGCCCACCAAGGCGGUGACGGGUAGCCGGCCUGAGAGGGUGGGCGGCCACACUGGGACUGAGACACGGCCCAGACUCCUGCGGGAGGCAGCAGUGGGGGGUAUUGCACAAUGGGCGGAAGCCUGAUGCAGCGACGUCGCGUGAGGGAUGGAGGCCUUCGGGUUGUGAACCUCUUUCUCCGGUGGUGAAGGCCCUGUCCGUUGCGGCGGGGUUGACGGUAGCCGGGGAUGAAGCGCCGGCUAACUACGUG
rnacentral:rRNA from 1 species